CAGUACUGAGUGGAUCAUGAUAUGAUGAUACUAUUUCCGGGUGUUGGUGAGGCUGCGGGUGUCUGUCUGGAAGUGGUGGUUGUCAUCGGGGUCAGAAUCAGAAUGAAUUGGAGACGGAGUUGUUGGUGUUGAAAAUAAUAGCUAUUUUUGGCCUUUUUCUUUCUCUGGAACUUCUUCUGUCUGGAUAUAAAGAGAAACGGGUUGGGGACUACAGAUGGAAUUUCCUAUGUUUCGAUUUGUACCCGUUUCUUCUCAUCCUGGAUACUUCACUGGAUACCCCUGAGAAAAGUCUAGCUCCAUCUUUACUCCCUCCCAUCAGGGUUUCCAGAAGGAGUAUAAUAUCGAUAUGGUAGUGGGAA